UGGGAGAUUGAAGGAGCCACAAGUUGUGGGAAUGGGCGGUUUGGGAAGUGAGAAAGUGAGAUGGAAAAUGUUUCUUUCUCUGUAUGUUUGCUUAAUUUUCCUUCCCAAAGCCGCCCAUUCCGGUGAUUUCUGGUUCUUCCUCCCUUUCCCUUCCCUGCUAACUCUGCUAUGCUAUAUUCCUCGUCAACUUCGCUAAUCCCCUUCAUUCCACUGGUAUUAAACUUGUGGUUCAAGGCCAGAUGCAGCAAAAAUAUAAGUGAUGUGUGAGAUAAAUUUUGGGAUCAUUAUAUUGUCUUUCUUUUUUGUUCAUAUUAGCCUUUACAACACAGGGCCGAUCGAUAUGGUAAUAACUUGACAACAGAUCCAGAUCUAAUGCCUCAAGCCUACAAUACUUACGGGAUAAUAGUUUGGCCGUUGCUCUUUUAAAUAAAAAGUAGCGCAGAUCAGUGUUCUGUCAUGUAUUUAUCCAUCUUAAGGAGAUUCCCGCAGCAACAAUUUAUAUGGCGAAAGAAAGAAGCAAGCCCUCCUUUAUUCAUCA